AUGAAUCUGUUAAGCUGGAACUACCGGGGAUUAGGCAACGCCCCGACAGUUCAAGAAUUGCGCGAACUCACGUUAAAGUUUGCCCCUAGAGUACUUUGUAUUUUGGAAACACAAAUUAGCCAAGAGAGAGCUGAAAGUUUAGCAAGUACUCUAGGAUAUGAUUGUUCUUUUGCUGUUGGAUCCACCGGUCGGAGCGGUGGCUUAGUUUUGUACUAG
rnacentral:rRNA from 1 species